CCCAGACCCAGCCCCGCCCCAGACCCAACCAGUCCAGCCCCUCCCCCAGACGGCGGCGUCCCCACCCACAAACCACCGUCACCAAGGCAACGCCGCGCCCCGGUCAAACGGGAACCCACUGACCCAGGAGGCUCUUCAGAGCCACACCAAGCACGCCCAGACCUUCCAGAACCGGAACCAGCAGACCCAGGCCGCCCUGCAGCGCCCUCCGCCCCCCCCCCUGGUCAUCCCCAUGAGCCAGUUCAAGGAGCUCCCCCGGGAGCGGCUCCAGGACCGGCCCCCCAACAGACCGGCCCCCCGGCCCACCGCCCACCUGCCCGCCGGACAGCGCCUCCGCCUGCAGGCCGACCCGCACCACCCUCGAGCCACGGGCCACGCCCCCCGUGGUCACCACGCCCAAGGUCACCACGGCAACCCCCACCAGAACCAGACUCGCAGAGAUAGGCCUCAUUGACGAACAAUGUCCCCUGUGUGCGGCUGCGGUACUCCAGAGGGCCUGUGACUUCAGGGGCCUGUGACUUCAGGGGCCAGGAUCAGUCAGGAAGACCCGUCUCCACCUCAUGGCCUGUCCUGUUGAGUAUUAAUGCUCCUGUUGAGUGUUGAGUGUUGAUUUAAGGGGCGUUGUCACACAGUGUGUGAACACAUGGGCGUGGUCGUUCCUGGGCUUUCCCUCAGGAGCUAUGCAUCACAUGACCUAACAGAAGAGAGGCCUCUCCAAUCCCUGGCCCCCUGCUGGCCAAAGCGUGGUAUAACUACACAUACUGGAAGGGCUUCGAGAGGAAGAGGAGGACACGAUCACAGGAGUUACGACGGACGUUUAGAAGAAAGGCCUGCAGUGUUCUGUAAGGCCGGCUGACAUUUGGAGACGAGGCUGUCUCAUCCCGCUCUGCCGUGUCUGAUGAGGACAAGCGUCCGGACGGAAAUGUCUUCAAAAGCGACAUUUUCUAUUAAUGUGAAAAUGGUGGCAGCCAGAUGUCAGUUACUUUUUCUGCUGUGUUUAUGGUUUGACAUGUUUGUUUCAAAUGGAAAAUAUAAACACUUUUUAUUAGGAAUACAUUACAUUUUUAGACUGGAAUUG
ensembl:lncRNA